CAACUGAGCACAGGAGGUACAAGAGCCUGGGCUAAAAAUGAAAGGAAACAGGAAGUAAGGCCUGACGUACCCAGUAGGAGAUAGGGUUUGCUACUUGCACAAAUAACUGAACAGAGGAAGAUGCCUUCUCCCAGGCAACGUUUGCAGUCGACCACGGUAAACAAUGGAAACGAAGAAGGCAUCUCUUCUGAGUUUGCCUCAUUACCUAUGCACAUUUGGAUUUUGGACUCCUUUUGGAAUGGUCUUCUCCAGCCCUGUUCUCCUACCUUGCAUCUGUCCUGUAUCUACAGCACGGCCUGGAACCCACUGAACUGAAAGGUAAAGCUCACUACUGACUUCAUUGGAGAAAUCAAGCAUCUGACUCUUAUUUUUCAUGGAUACUUGCAUGACCUGCUGAAGAAAAUGGCAACUUUUAACCUUUGGCCUUCUUAUAGAUUUAAGACAACUAGUAGUCUUCAAGAGCUAGAAAGAACUACAGUGGCACAUAGCCAAUGAAGGUGAAAUAAUGAUAUCCAUCAUCUUAAAAGCUACUAGAUUACUAGAUUUCCUAGUUUAAGAAGUGAAAAGGAAGGUACUCUCUUACCUAGUGCAGUAGAAAACAAGAAAAAAGACAAACUGCUCUUUAAAGUUGAGAAAGCAUGCCAAAGUGCUUUGACUAAUCAAAUAUGUCUUCAUCUACUUUUUUUUUUGAUACUGUUCUGUAUUGUGCUUAACGUUUCGAAGAAAAAGUACGAGCCUGAGUGACAGUCUACAGGACCUGCUUAUUUCAGGUACAUUAUGUCAGUCUCUUUUUGCUGACAAUACAUCAUCAGAGGAACAGACUAGUUUGAAGUCCUGUUGAGUUACUAGCUGGGUCUACACGGCAAUGCUGCUUCAAAUGAUUUUAUCCUUUUAGCUUGCAAGUGCCUUGUUACCCGAGG
rnacentral:lncRNA from 1 species